rnacentral:ncRNA from 1 species
GAAAGCCGUAUGAGGGAAAACCUCACGUACGGUUUGAUGAGGGGAAGCUGAAACAAGUAAGGCGACCUCAAGGUCGCCCGAAAGUUUCAGUUUUCUACUCUAC